rnacentral:rRNA from 1 species
UACAGAGGUGGCAAGCGUUGUUCGGAAUUACUGGGCGUAAAGGGCUCGUAGGCGGCCUGUCGCGUCGGGAGUGAAAGCCCACUGCUUAACGGUGGGUCUGCUUCCGGUACGGGCGGGCUGGAGUAUGGCAGGGGAGACUGGAAUUCCUGGUGUAGCGGUGGAAUGCGCAGAUAUCAGGAGGAACGCCGGUGGCGAAGGCGGGUCUCUGGGCCAUUACUGACGCUGAGGAGCGAAAGCGUGGGGAGCGAACAGG